ACAUUCCCUUCCCUUCUGCUUCUGAGUGGAGAGGAUGGAGUGGCAUGGGCAGGUGCCAUGGCCUGUCAGCCACUGGGCAAGUGACUUCGGAGAGGAAAGAUGGGUGAAUUCUAUCUUCAAUCCUAUCUCCAAGAUCUCAUCAGUGGAAGAUAUUUGGGACAAAGAAAAGCAUGAGGAAGAGGAAGAAGAAGAAGAAAAGGAGAAGGAGAGUGUAGACCAAGAGCAAGAGAAAGAAGAAGAAGGCAGGAUCAAGGCCCUUCUCGGAGUACCCAAGCAGAACUCAGUGUGGGGCCUGAUGGCUUGGCCCAGGCCCUCCCCAGAGCAAGCCCGGUGGUGGGAAGAUUUCUCCCUGCCCCCACUCCGCGGACCCUGCUUCUGCAGCUGCAGACUGAGUUCAAAGAUGAGGCUCCACCCCCUGCCCGCCAUGACUUCCUGCCCCACCCCUAAAAGCUUGCCCUCAUUGACAUCUAGAGAAGAGUCUAGCUGGCUAAGAAAUCAGCCUCUGAUGGAGCCUCUAUCAGGAUCCAGACUGAAGACCCCCAAAGCAGUUCCCAGACUUCCUCCCAAGGUCUCCCCUAAGAGAUCUACUAUCCCCAAGAGGGGGCGACAGCAGACCCCAAUGUCAAUGUGGCCUCCGAUUAUCAGCCCUCCCUCCAAAAGCUCUGCUCUUAAAGGACAACACACACCCUCCGCCAAGGAGGACUCCCAUACCCCAGGUGCCUGGGGCAACCCUUUGCCUCAGCUUCCUUCAAAAUAAAUAUUUUUGUUACACCGGCAA
rnacentral:lncRNA from 1 species